CUUUGCGGCAAUUCCAUAAAAAAUAAUAAUCUUUUUUCAGGUAUAAUGUAUUCACCUGAGUACAUUUACCAACACACAAAAACUCGUUAUUACUAGAUUACAUUGAUAUCGAAGCAACUAGAUUCUGUUCCAAAAUAUCACAUACUCGAACCGACCUGACCGCGUAGCUCAGUUGGCAGUGGAUUUGGGCUAGUAUUUCCAAAGGUCGUAGGUUCGAUUUCCACCGUGGCCAGGCAUAUUUUUCAAGCUUGCCUGGUGUCAUGUUGCGUUUCUUAAGCCCCGUUUACACUACGCUCAAUUUUUGGUACCGUACCACUUUUUUGGUUCUUGGACUACCUAAAUCCAAGAACCAAAAAAGUGGUACGGAUACCAGUUUUAUCCGUGCCGUACCAAAAAUUGAGCGCAUUGUAUAUAAACGGGGCUUUAGUAAGAUUAAUCAAUCCCCCACUUCCCCCAACUCAAUGUUAAACUUGUGUCAUGGUAAAGUACUAAAAGUUGCUUUGGUGCUGUUUAAGGUGGCUCGCUACAGUUUAUAGAAAUGUUGAAAAUGCAUAAACUAGAUCACC